rnacentral:rRNA from 1 species
AGAGAGAGACAUGCGCGCAUAUCAAUAAGCGGAGGAAAAGAAACUAACAAGGAUUCCCUUAGUAACGGCGAGUGAAGCGGGAAGAGCUCAAAUUUGAAAUCUUCAAGGUUUUACCUUGACGAAUUGUAGUUUAAAGAAGUGUUUUCUGCUGAAGUUUUGGUAAAAGUUCUUUGGAAUAGGACAUCAUAGAGGGUGAGAAUCCCGUAUUUGACCAUUAUUUUCAGCUUUGUGAUACACUUUCAAAGAGUCGGAUUGUUUGGGAAUGCAGUCCAAAAUGGGUGGUAAAUUUCAUCUAAAGCUAAAUAUUGGCGAGAGACCGAUAGCGAACAAGUACCGUGAGGGAAAGAUGAAAAGAACUUUGAAAAGAGAGUUAAACAGUACGUGAAAUUGUCAAAAGGGAAGCGUUUGACACCAGUGUUGUUUUCUCGAAAAUCAAUUAAAAAUGGCUCGAUUUUGUAUUGCUUGAGACCUUAAAAGCUCACUGUACAUUUUUCGUGUCUUUUUUAAUGCACUUUUCGUUUAACAAGUCAACAUCAGUUUCUUUUGUUGUAAAAGGGUCAUUGGAAGGUGGCUUUCUUUUCGGAGAAAGUGUUUAUAGCCUUUGGCCUCUGCAAUCGGAAGAGACUGAGGUCUGCAGCGUAGACUCUUCGGGGUUAGAUACAUUUGUGCUAAGUUAUAGCUUUUUAUAGACAACUUGUUGACUAUAAUUAGUCUUGUAGCUUACUCGCUUAUGCUAUUUUACCUACGCUUAGGAUGUUGAAGAUGUAGCACAUCAU